AGUGAACGCUGGCGGUAGGCCUAACACAUGCAAGUCGAACGGCAGCACAGGAGAGCUUGCUCUCUGGGUGGCGAGUGGCGGACGGGUGAGGAAUACAUCGGAAUCUGCCCAGUCGUGGGGGAUAACGUAGGGAAACUUACGCUAAUACCGCAUACGACCUUCGGGUGAAAGAGGGGGAUCGCAAGACCUCUCGCGAUUGGAUGAGCCGAUGUCGGAUUAGCUAGUUGGCGGGGUAAUGGCCCACCAAGGCGACGAUCCGUAGCUGGUCUGAGAGGAUGAUCAGCCACACUGGAACUGAGACACGGUCCAGACUCCUACGGGAGGCAGCAGUGGGGAAUAUUGGACAAUGGGCGCAAGCCUGAUCCAGCCAUACCGCGUGGGUGAAGAAGGCCUUCGGGUUAUAAAGCCCUUUUGUUGGGAAAGAAAUCUUUCAGGCUAAUACCCUGGGAGGAUGACGGUACCCAAAGAAUAAGCACCGGCUAACUUCGUG
rnacentral:rRNA from 1 species